rnacentral:rRNA from 1 species
CCUACGGGUGGCAGCAGUGAGGAAUAUUGGUCAAUGGACGAGAGUCUGAACCAGCCAAGUAGCGUGAAGGAAGACUGCCCUAUGGGUUGUAAACUUCUUUUAUAUGGGAAUAAAACAGGGUAUGCAUACCCUCCUGUAUGUACCAUAUGAAUAAGGAUCGGCUAACUCCGUUCCCGCAGCCGCGGUAAUACGGAGGAUCCCAGCGUUAUCCGGAUUUAUUGGGGUUAAAGGGUGCGUAGGUGGAUUGUUAAGUAAGUUGUGAAAGUUUGGGGCUCAACCGUAAAAUUGCAGUUGAAACUGGCAGUCUUGAGUACAGUAGAGGUAGGCGGAAUGCGUGGUGUAGCGGUGAAAUGCUUAGAUAUCACGAAGAACUCCGAUUGCGAAGGCAGCUCACUGGACUGCAACUGACACUGAUGCACGAAAGUGUGGGUAUCAAACAGGAUUAGAUACCCGUGUAGUC